rnacentral:ncRNA from 1 species
AAAAGACUUAGUCCUAACCUUACUGUUAGUUUUUGCUAAAUAUAUACAUGCAAGUAUCCGCACUCCAGUGAAAAUGCCCUCAGCACCUUAAUAAGACAGAAGGAGCAGGUAUCAGGCUCACUACACAGCCGUAGCCCAAGACACCUUGCCUUGCCACACCCCCACGGGUAUUCAGCAGUAAUUGACAUUAAGCAAUAAGUGAAAACUUGACUUAGUUAAAGCAAUCCACCAGGGUCGGUAAAUCUUGUGCCAGCCACCGCGGUCACACAAGAGACCCAAAUUAACCUUACACGGCGUAAAGAGUGGCUUCCUACUAUCGUCCUAACUAAGAUUGAAAUGCAACCAAACUGUUAUAAGUACAAGAUGCAUCUAACACCACCUAUCCAAAUGAUCUUAGCCCUACGACCAACAAAAUCCACGAAAGCCAGGACACAAACUGGGAUUAGAUACCCCACUAUGCCUUGCCAUAAAUCUCAAUGCCUUUCAUACCCAAGCAUCCGCCUGAGAACUACGAGCACAAACGCUUGAAACUCUAAGGACUUGGCGGUGUUCCAAACCCACCUAGAGGAGCCUGUUCUAUAAUCGAUAACCCACGAUACACCCCACCAUCUCUUGCCAGACCAGCCUAUAUACCGCCGUCUUCAGCUCACCCUUAAACUGAGGGCCCAACAGUGAGCACAACAGCCACCCCCACUAACAAGACAGGUCAAGGUAUAGCCUAUGAGAUGGCAGAAAUGGGCUACAUUUUCUAACAUAGAAAACUACGACAAGAGGUAUGAAACUACCCCUAAAAGGCGGAUUUAGCAGUAAAGCAGGACAAUAAUGCCUCCUUUAAGCCGGCUCUGGAACACGUACAUACCGCCCGUCACCCUCCUCAAAAGCUAUCCCACAUUCCAUCCCUAAUCCCCUACUAGGCCAAAGAUGAGGCAAGUCGUAACAAGGUAAGUGUACCGGAAGGUGCACUUAGUCUACC